GACAGAGGGUGCAAACGUUGCUCGGAAUUACUGGGCGUAAAGCGCGUGUAGGCGGAUUGGAAAGUCGGGUGUGAAAUCCCUGGGCUCAACCCAGGAACUGCAUCCGAAACUCCCAGUCUUGAGUGACGGAGAGGGAGGUGGAAUUCCCGGUGUAGAGGUGAAAUUCGUAGAUAUCGGGAGGAACACCAGUGGCGAAGGCGGCCUCCUGGACGUCCACUGACGCUGAGACGCGAAAGCGUGGGGAGCAAACAGG
rnacentral:rRNA from 1 species